AAACUCACCAGCACACACAGUUUUCAGUGACGGUUAUGACCAACACCUGCCCCAGCCACCAACCUGCUCUUUCCCAUGUCCCUCUUUGCACCUUGACUGCAGUGCCAGGAGCUUUUUCUCCUGUCCACCCCCACACAAGGACAUAAAAGCCCCUUUCUCCUAGCUUGCCGCUUAAUUACAACUUACUGCUCCUUGUCCCAGCACUGCCAUGGCAACAAGUAGCAUUGGUACAAGAGUCAAAAGCAAGAAAGGUUGCCUGGCAACAGAGUAGUAGGAUGAAUUCAGCGAUCCCAGAGGCCCAAGUUCUAGCUUGGGUUCUGACUACCUGGGACACAGCAGAUAAAAACCGAGCUCCCCUGCACUUUGAUUAGCCUUGGGGAUUGUAUUGUUAUUUGUGAAACAAAGGAGCUGGGAUAUGAGGGAGCAUAUCACAAAGAAGAUAAGGAUCUGGGAAAAUGAUUCUGACUUUGAGAAGAGAGAAGCCAUCACGGAAAUAAAUGAAGACGACAUCCACUGAAUGGCACCUCAGAAGGGAACCCUCAGACAAGAUACAAAGAGACACCAAAGCAGAAAGCAGCAGACAGAAACCAGUUCUGGCAGUGGUGGCCCCAAGCCUGGCUCUUCCCCAGGGCUGGGAUUCUGGCUGUAUUCUUCUGGGAGACACAUAACCUUGGAGGAAGGGGAAAACAAUAAGACUCUGGGAAGUAAACAGCAAGAGAGCACAUGUUUAAAAGGGACAGAGUGAAGCAAGUCACCCAAAAGAGAUGGGAUAUUCAAACAGUUUUAAGGAGGAAUUGGCCAGCCUUGGAAUUUCAGUGAAGAAAAGUCUCAAAAGCAGACCUUGGCUGCCCUACUUAGUACCGGCUCAGGAAGACAGGAGCCCUGAAUUGUGGAUUGUGAAUGUUUCCAGCUCUGUUUGGCAAGAUCAGGACGUCUUAGCUCAACUGGACUAGACAUAUAACUUCUCUAGUUGCUCUGUUUGGUUCUAUGUUUGCCUGUAACCUUAUGACUCCUAGUAGAUGUGCUAACACAA
rnacentral:lncRNA from 1 species